AGUGAACGCUGGCGGCAGGCCUAAUACAUGCAAGUCGAACGGCAGCACGGCAGAGCUUGCUCUGUGGGUGGCGAGUGGCGGACGGGUGAGGAAUACAUGGGAAUCUGCCCAGUCGUGGGGGAUAACGUAGGGAAACUUACGCUAAUACCGCAUGCGCCCUUCGGGGAAAGCCGGGGACCUUCGGGCCUGGCGCGAUUGGAUGAGCCCAUGUCGGAUUAGCUAGUUGGCGGGGUAAUGGCCCACCAAGGCGACGAUCCGUAGCUGGUCUGAGAGGAUGAUCAGCCACACUGGAACUGAGACACGGUCCAGACUCCUACGGGAGGCAGCAGUAGGGAAUAUUGGACAAUGGGCGCAAGCCUGAUCCAGCCAUGCCGCGUGAGUGAAGAAGGCCCUCGGGUUGUAAAGCUCUUUUGUCCGGAAAGAAAAGCGCCGGGUUAAUACCCUGGUGUCCUGACGGUACCGGAAGAAUAAGCACCGGCUAACUUCGUGCCAGCAGCCGCGGAAU
rnacentral:rRNA from 1 species